rnacentral:tRNA from 1 species
GAGGGUCUAGCUUAGUGGUUAGAGCACAUGCCUGGCAUGCAGAGGUCCUGGGUUCAAUCCCCAGUCCCUCU